GACGAACGCUGGCGGCGUGCUUAACACAUGCAAGUCGAACGAUGAAGCCGGAGCUUGCUCCGGUGGAUUAGUGGCGAACGGGUGAGUAACACGUGAGCAAUCUGCCCUUGACUCUGGGAUAACUGCGGGAAACUGUAGCUAAUACCGGAUACGACACCUUGGGGCAUCCCAGGGUGUGGAAAGAAUUUCGAUCAAGGAUGAGCUCGCGGCCUAUCAGCUAGUUGGUGAGGUAAUGGCUCACCAAGGCGACGACGGGUAGCCGGCCUGAGAGGGUGACCGGCCACACUGGAACUGAGACACGGUCCAGACGCCUACGGGAGGCAGCAGUGGGGAAUAUUGCACAAUGGGCGCAAGCCUGAUGCAGCGACGCCGCGUGAGGGAUGACGGCCUUCGGGUUGUAAACCUCUUUCAGCUAUGACGAAGCGCAAGUGACGGUAGUAGCAGAAGAAGGACCGGCCAACUACGUGCCAGCAGCCGCAGUAA
rnacentral:rRNA from 1 species